GCUGGGCGUGGUGGCGCAUGCCUGUAGUCCCAGCUACUCAGGAGGCUGAGGUGGGAGGAUCACUUGAGCCCAGGAGGUCAAGGCUUCAGUGAGCCAUGAUCACACCACUGCACCCCAGCCUGGGUGACAGAGUGAGACCCUGUCUCAA
rnacentral:SRP_RNA from 1 species